rnacentral:misc_RNA from 1 species
GAUGAAGAACGUAGUGAAAUGCGAUACGUAGUGUGAAUUGCAGAAUUCAGUGAAUCAUCGAAUCUUUGAACGCACAUUGCACCUCUCGGUAUUCCGGGAGGUAUGCCUGUUCGAGCGUCAUUUGUACCCUCAAGCUCUGCUUGGUGUUGGGUGUUUGUUCCGCCUCUGUGUGUGAACUCGCCUCAAAACAAUUGGCAGCCGGCGUACUUGUUUCGGAGCGCAGCACAUUUUGCGAUCCAGAUCAACGUACAGCGGCAUCCAAGAAGCCUUAUUUAACGCUCUUGACCUCGGAUCAGGUAGGGAUACCCGCUGAACUUAAGCAUAUCAAUAAGCGGAGA